rnacentral:rRNA from 1 species
GCAAGUCGAGCGGUAACAGAGAUAGCUUGCUAUCUGCUGACGAGCGGCGGACGGGUGAGUAAUGCUUGGGAAUAUGCCUUUGAGUGGGGGACAACAGUUGGAAACGACUGCUAAUACCGCAUAACGUCUACGGACCAAAGGGGGGGACGCUUCGGCACCUCUCGCUCAUUGAUUAGCCCAAGUGAGAUUAGCUAGUUGGUAAGGUAAUGGCUUACCAAGGCGACGAUCUCUAGCUGGUUUGAGAGGAUGAUCAGCCACACUGGGACUGAGACACGGCCCAGACUCCUACGGGAGGCAGCAGUGGGGAAUAUUGCACAAUGGGCGAAAGCCUGAUGCAGCCAUGCCGCGUGUGUGAAGAAGGCCUUCGGGUUGUAAAGCACUUUCAGCGAGGAGGAAAGGUUAGUAGUUAAUAACUGCUAGCUGUGACGUUACUCGCAGAAGAAGCACCGGCUAACUUCGUGCCAGCAGCCGCGGUAAUACGAGGGGUGCAAGCGUUAAUCGGAAUUACUGGGCGUAAAGCGUGCGUAGGUGGUUUGUUAAGCAAGAUGUGAAAGCCCCGGGCUCAACCUGGGAACUGCAUUUUGAACUGGCAAGCUAGAGUUUUGUAGAGGGUAGUGGAAUUUCCAGUGU